rfam:Leuconostoc citreum KM20, complete genome.
AUUAAUCUUCGGGGCAGGGUGGAAUUCCCGACCGACGGUAAAGAUCUUUAAGAUCUAAGUCCGUGACCUGCAUUAUUUAUUAAUAAUGCAGUUGACACAGUGUAAUUCUGUGACCGACAGUUAAAGUCUGGAUGGGAGAAGAUUUAA